UUUUGGGCUGAUGGUUUUGACCCAAUGAGUUAUUAUUGCUAGCGGGUUGGAUCGUUACAUUUGGUAUCAGAGCCGGUUUGCCAGUCGGAAUUAUGAGAUAAGUCUUAGCUGAGCAAGGGUCGGAAUGACGNGGAUGAUAUUAGUCAGUUAGAGUUGAGUGGUCCCCCUAGGGUUGAGUGGUCCCCACUGGGUUAUAGUAUUUAAUCCAAUGGUUAGAAAUAAUGAAAAGAGUUGAUCCAAAGGCUAAAAAACUGGUAGUAACAAUAAAAUUUUGCUACUAAUAGUAGCCCAGUCCGACUAUAUAUAUAUAUAUAUAUAUAUAUAGAAUUAGGCUGGAAUACUAUUAAUAGUAAAACGCACUUUUUGCUAUCAAAUUUUUAAUCCUUUGAUGAAAAAUUAUAGGAUCAGGAUGAUAUUAGUCGGUUAGAGUUGAGUGGUCCCCCUAGGGUUGAGUGGUCCCCACUGGGUUAUAGUAUUUAAUCCAAUGGUUAGAAAUAAUGAAAAGAGUUGAUCCAAAGGCUAAAAAACUGGUAGUAACAAUAAAAUUUUGCUACUAAUAGUAGCCCAGUCCGACUAUAUAUAUAUAU
rnacentral:lncRNA from 1 species